CUUUCUUGAUAGGGAAUUCUGGGAAAUAGUCCAUUCAUUUACAGAUGAACAGAAAAGACUAUUCUUACAGUUUACAACGGGCACAGACAGAGCCCCUGUGGGAGGACUUGGAAAGUUAAAAAUGAUCAUAGCCAAAAACGGCCCAGAUACAGAGAGGUUACCUACAUCUCACACAUGCUUUAAUGUACUUUUGCUUCCGGAGUACUCAAGCAAAGAAAAGCUUAAAGAAAGAUUAUUGAAGGCCAUCACAUAUGCCAAAGGAUUUGGCAUGCUGUAAUAAAUAAAACAAAAGGGAUUUAAAAAAUGAUGGUGAUGAUGUCCCUGUCCAAAAAGGCCAUAAGAUAGUGAGCUACAGUAGUCACCUGUGUUUGUGCCUCCCUUCUUUACUGGGGACAUUGGGCUGGAACAGCAGAUUUCAGCUGCUUAUAUGAACAAAAUCUUUAUUUUUUCUUUUAGCGUGAAAGUGUUACAUAUUCUUUCACUUGUAUGUACAGAGAGGUUUUCCUGAAUAUUUAUUUUAAGGGUUAAAUCACUUUUGCUUGUGUUUAUUACUGCUUGAAGUUGAGCCUUUUUGAGUAUUUACAAGAAAACAAACUGUACUCUCCCAAGGAAAAUAUUGCCAUCAUUUGUAGACCAUGUAACCUUCAAGUAUGUGCUAUAUUUUUGUCCCUGUAUCUAAUCAAAUCAAGAACUGUACUUUUUGAAGAGUUUGCUUUUGAAACUUGAAGUCUUGGAAAACAGUGUGAUGCAAUUACUGCUGUUCUAGCCCCCAAAGAGUUUCUGUGCAAAAUCUUAAGAAUCAAUAAAGAUGGAAGGGAGAACUUGGAAUGUUAAAUUGCAGCCUUGAGAACUUUACUUUAGUCACAGCACAACAAUUAAAAUCCAUUUCACUAUAUGUUGUCUUCACAUGUCUUGUAAUAAACUGUGUUUUUAAUUAGGAAACAUUUCUUAGUGUGUGAAAGGGUAGAAAUUUUAGUUACUUUUUUAAAAAAAAAGAAGUUUUUGCUAUAUUAUAAACAAAGCAUGUGGAAGUGCACUUAAAAUGAAGUUUUAUUCUUAAUUGCCUAUUAUGUUGACAUUUUAAAUAGACAAUCCAAAGUCUUCCCUACGUGUUCUGUCAUCACCGUUUAUUUAAUGACUAGUCGUUCCUGCUUAUCAAGGCACAUGAUCAGUGUUGCAGCAUAAUCUAAAGGGAUGGCUACUGUAUUUUAAUCUCAUCUAACAAUAAGC